CUGCCAGCCACACUGGAUCUCUGCGAUGCUACAAGUUGAACAAAGGCAAGCGAACAGCUUCCGCUUUAGACCACCAAAAUAAAGAAAUGUACUCCUCUCUUUUCUCCAUAUACUAUGCACCUAAUCCACCUGGACUGUUGUCAAAAUUCUUCUCAAAGUGCAAAAGCAAACCAGCAAAUAAAAUUUAUAUUUUUCAGUAGGGUAAAA